rnacentral:rRNA from 1 species
GACGAACGCUGGCGGCGUGCUUAACACAUGCAAGUCGAACGGAAAGGCCCUGCUUUUGUGGGGUGCUCGAGUGGCGAACGGGUGAGUAACACGUGAGUAACCUGCCCUUGACUUUGGGAUAACUUCAGGAAACUGGGGCUAAUACCGGAUAGGAGCUCCUGCUGCAUGGUGGGGGUUGGAAAGUUUCGGCGGUUGGGGAUGGACUCGCGGCUUAUCAGCUUGUUGGUGGGGUAGUGGCUUACCAAGGCUUUGACGGGUAGCCGGCCUGAGAGGGUGACCGGCCACAUUGGGACUGAGAUACGGCCCAGACUCCUACGGGAGGCAGCAGUGGGGAAUAUUGCACAAUGGGCGGAAGCCUGAUGCAGCAACGCCGCGUGCGGGAGGACGGCCUUCGGGUUGUAAACCGCUUUCGCCUGUGACGAAGCGUGAGUGAUGGUAAUGGGUAAAGAAGCACCGGCUAACUACGU